rnacentral:rRNA from 1 species
GACGAACGCUAGCGGCGCGCUUAACACAUGCAAGUCGAGCGGAAAGGCCCUUCGGGGUACUCGAGCGGCGAACGGGUGAGUAACACGUGAGCAACCUACCCCUGGCUCUGGGAUAACCCCGGGAAACCGGGGCUAAUACCGGAUACCCACGCACUGUUGCAUGACUGUGCGUGAAAAGUUUUUCGGCUGGGGAUGGGCUCGCGGCCUAUCAGCUUGUUGGUGGGGUAACGGCCCACCAAGGCUUCGACGGGUAGCCGGCCUGAGAGGGCGACCGGCCACACUGGGACUGAGAUACGGCCCAGACUCCUACGGGAGGCAGCAGUGGGGAAUAUUGCACAAUGGGCGCAAGCCUGAUGCAGCGACGCCGCGUGAGGGAAGAAGGCCUUCGGGUCGUAAACCUCUUUCGGCAGGGACGAAGCGCAAGUGACGGUACCUGCAGAAGAAGCGCCGGCCAACUACGUGCCAGCAGCCGCCGUAAAAC